rnacentral:rRNA from 1 species
GACGAACGCUGGCGGCGUGCUUAACACAUGCAAGUCGUACGGUAAGGCCCUUUCGGGGGUCCACGAGUGGCGAACGGGUGAGUAACACGUGCGUAACCUGCCCACAACUUUGGGAUAACGCUAGGAAACUGGUGCUAAUACUGGAUAUGUGCUCCUGCUGCAUGGUGGGGGUUGGAAAGCUCCGGCGGUUGUGGAUGGACUCGCGGCCUAUCAGCUUGUUGGUGGGGUAGUGGCCUACCAAGGCGGCGACGGGUAGCCGGCCUGAGAGGGUGACCGGCCACAGUGGGACUGAGAUAAGGCCCAGGCUCCGACGGGAGGCAGCAGUGGGGAAUAUUGCACAAGGGGCGCAAGCCUGAUGCAGCAACGCCGCGUGCGGGAUGACGGCCUUCGGGUUGUAAACCGCUUUCAGCAGGGACGAAGCUUUUUGUGACGGUACCUGCAGAAGAAGCACCGGCUAACUACGUG